GGUGGGGGGUUCCCACUUGCAGAUCCGCUUGCUUCCAAAGGGUGGGUGUCCACGGGCCAGCCCCACAGGCCGGUGCCCCCCGGCCCCUCUCGGAGGGUCUGGGGCCUCCAGAGCCAGACGUGGGGUCCCCGAGCUGGUUUCCGCUGCCACCCGGGGCCCAAAGAAUCGCCCGGAAGGAGCCCAGAGCGGGGCCAGAGCCCGUCCGCGGUGACCCAGCCUGGCCACCUGUCCCAGGAGCAGCUGGGCACUGGGGCCUGGGGACCCUUGGCCUCCGUCUGACAAGGACACGGGUCAGCGGCUCCCCGAGUCACAGUGCCCUCCCCCACUCCCCAGGCUCCUGCAAACCGGGUCCUCUGAUGGCCGGGGACCCUGAAGCUGGCUCGGUGUCGGGACGAACCCCACUCUGGGCACCCUCCCAGUGGCCCCAGGCUGGGGGUGCUACACGGGAGCCCCUUUUUCUGACCUGCCUCCCGCUGCAGAGCAGGCUCGGAGAGGAAGAGGGACCCCUCGAGACCGCAGCCGAGCACAUGGCCUGGGCUUCCUUCACCCCGUCUGCAGCAUUCAGCUGCUCAGAGAGGAUUCUUCUCUCUGGGAGUCCCCAGCCUGGUUGAAGAUGGGACAGCUUGGCUGGCAAAAGGACCAGGCAUCCGCCAGAGCUGGGAUUGGCGUGGGGAAGCCACACCAGCUGGAAGGUUCGGAUCUGCCCCACCUCCGGGCCUGGAAAAGCAAAGCACCCAGUGAAGAAAGUGGGGUGCUUUUGGUGCAGGAAACCACAGUCUGGGAGGGGAAGGGGCUUGCCCACCACACCGAUGAGGCCGUGCAAACCACUUCCUGCAAGAGACACCCAUUGCAGCCUUCCGCCAGGCCCCGCUGCCCUUGGAGGUGCCAACCAAGUCUCGUGGGCCAUGGGCAAGGGCCCCAGUGGGUAGAGACACGACAUCCCAAAGGCGGGUCCGGGGGGAAGUACCACCUUCCCAUCCACCCCUCUGGGAGCCAGGAAAUCUGAUACAAUCCGGGAUAUUUUGUGUUCCUGGCACUGAGUAUUCCCUUGGUGAAUUGGUUAAAUGCAACCGACUUGGAACCUAAGCAUUGUAGUGUCUUGAUUCA